CUGAGAUUGCAAUCCUCAGUAAAGCCUCCCAGAACCAGCCAGUACUAAUCUAUCUAGAUUUAUCAGGGGCAACGCUGCUCGCCAGUCAUGGAGAAUAAUAUUCAAAGAUUAACUGGGACAUGUAGAAUCCCAGGUACCAAGUUGAGGGACCAUCAGACUCAGGAAGCAGCACAGGACACAUUCUCAGAUUUGGUAUGCAGACUGUUCCAGAAUGUAUCUUACAGUGCCUACUUCUGUGAUUCUGCCCCUGCCAAGGCCUUGUCUCUGAUGUCCUGCCAGAGUACUCUCUGGGCCAACCUCAAGCCUGACCUCUUGCCUGUAGAUGGAUAGUAACCACAGUAACACCAGCAUCAAGGGACAUACAAGAUGAAGACACACCUUUUACUAGAAGCGUGUUCCACGCUCCACCCUACCCCUGCACUAAGCAGGCAAAGGGCCUGGGCAUUUUUACAAUGGCCAAGAAAGAUGGAAGACACAUCCUGAUUGCUAACAAAAGUGGGAACCAGCAGCACAAACUCACCCCUUGCUGAGUAUCAGUAAUAGCCACCCUUUCAUCCUUAGCCCAGUUUUAGAAAUGGCAAUCAUAAAGGUCUUUCCUGGCUAAGAGAGGGCUGCCUGCUGCAGAGGAUAAGGAGAGAUACAAAGUGCCAGCAACUCAACAAGAUGAAAUAGCUUCCAUCUGCUAUCCAGGGUAUGCACAUGUUCAUGGGAUGGAGGGGCAGAAAGGGUGAUAUACUUUCAAGGAAUUGGGGCAGGGCACAUGCCACCAAAGGAGAGAUCCUGAUGAAGUCUUCCUCCCAGUUAGUGAUUCUCUGCUUUGUAUGUGACAUGGAAAGCUAAGUCAUGAAGGUCCCAGAGCUGCAUGGUGAUUCCUGCCACUGUACCCUAUUCUCCUGGGAUGGGCCCACAGCCCCCACUAGCAAGCGGGCCAUCCUCUAGGCUAGACCAGAACCUGCUCUCUUUGCCCCAACCUCAAUGGAACCCUCACCUUCCUACAUAGUAGGGGUUUGUGCAUUUAGUUCAUUUCACAUUUUGGAAGGUUUUGUGAGUCUCUAAUUUUUUGUCUCUGGCUAAUCUAAGAGAAAAAUGAUUCUGAGAAAGAGAACCAGGAAAAUACCAGAUCUACAAGUAAAAAUCCUUUUCUCCACAGUUUCCAGAACUCAACCCUUGGACCCUCCCUAGGUGGGAUUUUCAGGAGCCACAGCCCUGGAGGCUGUAACCAAAACAAAUGGAAUCUGUCAGAAAUAUCCAGGGAACUGGAAAAGAGCAAUUAGAAGGAGAAGCAGAAGCCUUUACUAUGCUUUCCAGCCCCUGGAGCCAAGUCUGUGAGGCCAGCAACAGUUUAAUUUUGUUGCCAGUGAUCAGAAGUGGACUGCUCUGGGGUCCAGUAUUCUUGGGUCAGCUCUGGAGAGGAUUCUGAGUGUGGGAAGUUUCCCAAUUAUAAAUGCCACAAAAGGGACAAGUGGAAUGAUGAGCAAUACUGGCCAACUCAUUAGUUAUUCUUUUAAGGUGUUUUUUGUUUGUUGUAGUAUCUGAUUUGCAGGACACCCCAGGGUGUACUGGCUCCCACUCCUGGCCAGACCCGGUGUCUAACAAUGAGUAAGCAGCUGGCUCACCAUCUGUGGUGGUGGGGGCCAGCAGGGCAACGUUGUCUCUCCUGAGAGCAGCAAGCACUGUAGAGGCACCCCCAGGCCCAAAGCUCCCCAGCCUCAUUGAACAUGAUCGGUUUAAGGCAACUUGACAAGAUUCCCAUUGUCCUGGAUAAUGGCAGGAUUUGGCAGCCCUUUCAACUAUAUACCAGCUGCCUAACAUGAAUACUUUUGACAGGUCUACUUUCCAAGUUCACCCCAAGACUUAAAGCUUAGGGUCUUUCUCUCCCACAUACCACCCCCGCACCCCCAGGCUUUAACUAAACUAUAUCUGUUGUAUGGAAGCAUUUCUCCUAUCUUCCUUUAGGGAGAUGAAGUCAUGGUUUAUAGCAUUAGACUUCUAACAGCUAACAGGUGAUGAGCAGAAGCUUCGCCAAAUUCCAAACACAAACCUUGCAACAGGAAAGAUUCUGGGAUUUUACAGACCUGUUUGAAGCAUCUCAUCUAACAAAGGAAAGAUUGAAAAGAACAACCAGAAAUCAAAGAAAGCCAAUGUUCAUGUAAUCCCAAGGUGAAAAGAGAUAUUUGCUACAAAGCCAGAAACACGAUAAGGAAUCUGUUUGUUGUAUUUCUUUCAAAUCUCCCAUCCUUCCAUCAGCAGUUCACUGGGUUCAGAGCUAUUUUACACCAUUUCUGAAGACCUUAACCCAAUCAACCCCAAUGGCAGGGCGUCUGUUAAGAGCUUCCUGCAUCCUGACCACACCACAGCCUCUUUAAUUCCCUAGUUGACCCCAAGUGUUUGCAGCUCAGAAUCACCCCCACCUUUCCACAGGGUGACAGGGAAUGACACUGCAGAACUAUCAACCAAACUCUAGGCCACAGUGAAGUUCCCCAAUCUGCCUAUCCCAGGGGCUUCAAAAGAAUUAAGCAUUCUACAGAGAAAGUAAAGCUUAUGGCAGUGAUGAAAGAAAAUAUUUCCUUUAUCAAAUACAAAGUAUUUUGUUCAUGAACCACUCUUCUACUUCACCAGAGAUGGUUCAGAGUCUGACAAGCUUUUUCCUUGCUGUCAAGUCUAAGAGUCAAGGAUCUCAGAGGCAGCAUCUGGUCCAGUCUCCCACCUUCCCACAGUUUUCCAAUAAGCCAGAAACACAGCUUAACUUGGGAAUUUCUAAAGUAAGUUCUAGAGGAUGCUGUCUUCCAUGUUUAACAAUAAACAAAAAAGACAUUUUAUACCAUACACAUUAACAAGAUGGGCAUAUUGUGAUUGCUGGCAAAUAUUACCUUGCUCUAACCCAUCAACCCAGCCCUAUGCCUGAAGAGCUCCCCAUCAGGCAGGCUUGCCUGUCUGCAGUGGAGGCAGCAAGCAUGCACACUGCUUAGAGCUGCGGUUAGCUGUCAGCACUGGGUUGAUGACCCAGCUCCUGCACUUUGCUGUGAGACAAGGCUCUGUUUCCCAUUCUAUAAAGUAGGGUUUGAGGUUACCUCUCAGGCUUGUGAGGUUUAAUGAGUUACCAUUGAAUUGAAAACUUGAUAAAUACAAGCUAUUUUUACUGAGGCUACAACUAUACUAUUACAAAAUAAAAAGUGCAGCAGACUUGAUUACUAGGGAAAGAAAACAAUACUUCCCCCUUAGCCCUAUUUCCUCUACCUAAAUAACUGGAUAGAGGGAUGUAUGUAAGAGGCAAAAGAGGAGAAAAGCAACAAAAAAACCUGGUGUUUCCUCCCCCGAUAGUUUAUUCUUUGCUGUUACACUUAACAGUUUACAUAUGUUUAAAAAAUGCACUUGAACUUGAUUAACCUCAGUGCUGCCAGACCUGCCUUGAUGGAACACAGCACCCAGAGCGGCCCCACAGGCAGUCUCUGCCUUGGGAUAGGGUCUGGGUCUUUUGUCUGACCCCAAUAGGAGAAAAAGGACCAGAGCCUUCUGCUGAGGCAGCAGAAGUUCAGGCCUGAGGCGGGAAGGGGGUGGAGGGAGCUGCCUGAGAAAGGCCCCCAAACCUGUUCUAACCCCUGGCCUGGCUGGCAGCUGGGUAGGGCCUUCUGCACCACCAAACACUGCUUUCAAGGACUCUAAAUUAACGUACAAGGAAAUGGUUAAUGUGUAUGUUUGUUUUAAUAUGAAAAACCACAGCCAUUUGUUCUUAAUUCAUCUCAGGAUGGGGUGAACAAUCA
rnacentral:lncRNA from 1 species